AUUGAACGCUGGCGGCAGGCCUAACACAUGCAAGUCGAACGAGUGGCGGACGGGUGAGUAAUGUCUGGGAAACUGCCUGAUGGAGGGGGAUAACUACUGGAAACGGUAGCUAAUACCGCAUACCAUCAGAUGUGCCACGAUGGGAUUAGCUGGGUGGGGGGGUAACGGCUUAACAAGGCGACAAUCCCUAGCUGGUCUGAGAGGAAGACCAGCCACACUGGAACUGAGACACGGUCCAGACUCCUACGGGAGUCAGCAGUGGGUAAUAUUGCACAAUGGGCGCAAGCCUGAUGCAGCCAGGCCGCGUGUAUGAAGAAGGCCCUCGGGUUGUAAAGUACUUUCAGCGGGGAGGCGUUACCCGCAGAAGAAGCACCGGCUAACUCCGUGCCAGCAGCCGCGGUAAUUC
rnacentral:rRNA from 1 species